GACGAACGCUGGCGGCGUGCUUAACACAUGCAAGUCGAGCGGUAAGGCCUCUUUGGGGGUACACGAGCGGCGAACGGGUGAGUAACACGUGGGUGACCUGCCCUUCACUCUGGGAUAAGCCUGGGAAACUGGGUCUAAUACCGGAUAUUCACUGCCUGUUGCAUGGUGGGUGGUGGAAAGUUUUUUCGGUGGGGGAUGGGCCCGCGGCCUAUCAGCUUGUUGGUGGGGUGAUGGCCUACCAAGGCGACGACGGGUAGCCGGCCUGAGAGGGCGACCGGCCACACUGGGACUGAGACACGGCCCAGACUCCUACGGGAGGCAGCAGUGGGGAAUAUUGCGCAAUGGGCGGAAGCCUGACGCAGCGACGCCGCGU
rnacentral:rRNA from 1 species